CGUCAACCGAAAUUGCGUAGUUGCUUGAGGUUGUGGGAAAUCUAUGCCAUGUAUGCUGUGCAAUUAAUUAGUGGGUCCCUUGUCACAACAGGAUGGAGUGUCCUUAGGUUGCAGAUGUGGGACACAACCUUCACGUAUGGAGGGUAGCUGUGAAUAAAUGAAGUAGUCCUGGACAACCGACAAGAAGGGGUCCUCCAUCCUGUUGGUUGGGUGUGGGGCUAACAACUCGUCACAGUAAGAGGUGCAGGAGGAAAGAUCCUCCAUCCACUGAAUACCUUCAUCAUCUUUAGUAAUGAAUGGUGCAAGAAGUUGGCGACACUGGAUCCCAAGGAUGGGAAUAAAGACACCUUGUGACUUCGUAAUGUGGAGAUUGAUGAAGGCAGAAGAGAAAGACGAGUACAUGCACAUGGCGCACAAAGCACAUUUAGAGUACCACGGGAAGAAAUUCCUAGUCUACAGUGUGGACAGGAUGACCAACAUUAACCAUUAGAUGAACUGUUCAGAAGCGGUCCAUUUAUUUCAUGAGGAAGUCCCAGAAGCUGGUCCUCUGAUAAACUGUGGUGAUUGUGUGGACAGUAAGUCAUCUCACAUGCAAGAGAAGAAUGAGAAACGUAUUGUCUACUGGGUAGUUCUUGAGUGUGGAACUUGGUCACUUGCUACAACUGGUUGUUCUUGUGAACCUUGUGGACUUCCCACAAAAUCAUUAGUGAUAUGCACUCCAUCAUGAAGGCCACUAAGGAUUGGACCAUGGGCUGUGGCAGGAUAAUUCCUGAUAAUAUGUUCACCUCCAGAGCAGAGUCUACAUUUCACACCUUGUCCAGUAGUGGGCAGAGCCAGAAGACAACAUAUCAUCACCUUCUGAGGAUCCAACAACAACUACAAAAUGAAGGAAACACAGGCUCACAAAUUGGUUCUCCAAAGAAUUACUAUGAUCUCUUGAAGGUGUGGUGUAGCUGCUUUGCCAAAUAUACCUUUUAGUACAGCUAUACACCGACCCACUGUGACAUCAUCAGUGACCUUUUCUGUAAUGGCAGCAACCUUGUCUGCCACUAAUACAAGAAGAAUUGGAGCACGAUAAAAGUUCCAGAACAGAAACAGCUGACCCCUGCUUGGUGUUGUGAUGUCAUUUCCAAACGAACUUUGUUAUUUAUCUGAUGUUGACACCGUUCUUUCGUGAAGAUGACAUAUCAAGUGGAAAUCUUUUAUACAGUUCUUGGGUAUCCCAGCAUGGAGACAGUCGUUGCCAUUUCUCCAGCUGCCUCUCAAAUAAGCUGCAAAUCAAAGAUAAUUUUUGAGGGAAACUUCUGGGAAAAGUAAUGGAAGCUGUGGUUAAAGCUUUACCAUCCAUAGCAGUGGUGUUGUGACAGUUGGAAGACAUCUUGAAUUUAACUAAUGGUGAGUAGCGUAUUGUCUUGUGUUAGUGACUAGACAUGUAUUCUUUGCUUAUUGGAUUUACUGAACCCUUAAAUUAGUCUGAUUUAAUUUACAUGCUUUAGAAGCAAAUAUGGCAUGCACUAAAUCUCAGUUUGUUAUAGUCUUCACUGGUUGCUGAUAUGUUACUUCAAAGUCACAUUGCGACCAAUGGCCAAUUUGUCUGUCUUGGUGCUUAGUUAAUAUCUGACAGUUGCGAUUUUUUUCAGUAUAGGUAAGGUUACCAUAUUUUGAAACUUAAAAAUGAGGACACAUUACGAGGGUUACCAUAUUUUGAAACUUAAAAAUGAGGACACCAUACAUACAAAUCGAGCCGUACCAGCCCCUAUGUAACUUCUAACACACACAAUUCACACAAUGGUCAAUGAUACAAAGUCAUUUACUUUCAAACAAUUAAUGUAAAGUCACUUACUUCAUUAUUUGAUAUACUAAACUUGGAAUGCAUAAAAACUUUAACCCUUGUUCCCCGAAGGACACCGUAUGGGGACCUUUAAAGUAAAGCCGAGUGGCCGAAAGACACCGUGUGGUGACUUGCAGUCCACGCAUACGCACAGUGUUUUAA